UUGAUAAUUCUUGAAAUGCAACAGGAGAUUAUAUGUCUUCUUUGAAUAUUCGUUGAAUAUAUAUAAACAUAUAUGCAUUGUACAUAGUAAUGUGAAUUAAGAAAAUUAUAUCAUUCAAGAAUGAUCAUUUAUUUUUCUAAUUUUCUUUGUGUGAUCUCUUUACAAGUAAUCGAACAAUAACGUCUUCAUAUUUAACAACGUGACUUUCAUUAAAAUGAAAACAUAUAUAUAUGUAUAUAUAAUGAUAUAUAUUUAACUCACGCAAUAUUGGAAUUCUUCCUGGAAAAUCAAUAAUGGCCACAUCAGAGAAAAUUAAUGAACCUAUUAAGGUAGCAGAAGAAAGUGGAAUUUGUGGUGAUGGUAUAAAAGAAUACUUGGAACCCCGAUUUGAGUGUCCUAUUUGUUUAACUUGGCUACGUGAUCCAGUUCUAACAUCUUGUGGUCAUAAGUUUUGUUCACGAUGCAUUUACACUUGGUUACAAAGAGAAGGUGCAUGCUGUCCGGUAGACAGUCAACCUCUAAAAUCUGAAAGCGAUCUUUUCAGAGAUCUUUAUACCAGCAGAGAGAUAUCUCAACAACGAACUACAUGUGCAUAUCGUCAAUUUGGCUGUUUGAUGGAAUUAUCACCAGUAGAUAUGGAGACACAUAUCAAUCAAUGUACAUACAAAAAUUUGUCUACCUCAAUAGGGACUCAAUGUCCCUUUAAAGAUGUUGGUUGUAUGGAAAUAUUUUGUUCCGAAGAAUCUUCACAUAUUCAUUUGGAAAAAAAUAUCAAUUCACAUUUAACUAUGAUACUAAAUGCACUUCCACGUUUAUCUAUAAACCAAAGCAAUGUUAGUGCCAUAUCCGCAGAAUCUAAGUUAUGGGAUCCACCACCCAAAAACGGAACAUCAGUUUCAGAUAAAGAACCACCUCCAGAUUGGCAGCAGUUAUUAAAGAGUUUGUAUGAAAGGAUAGUGGUAUUAGAACAACAAAAUCGAGAACUUUCUAUUAUUGUCUCCAAUCAAAAAAAUCAACUUACAGCUUUACAAACAUCAGUACGUUUUACAGAAGAGGAAAUGUUAUUACGUAAUUGUAAUGGUGUUUAUAUCUGGAAAUUAAAUUCUUUCCAAGAAAAGCUUACUUCCAUGAUAAAUGAUCCUUUAAAGAUGUAUUAUAGUCCUGGAUUUUACACUGGACCUAAUGGUUACAAAAUUUGUGCCAGAAUAAAUAUAUCCUCAAAGGAUCCGGAAUUUUUGUCAAUACUUUUACAUAUUAUGAAAUCUGAAAAUGACGAUGCAUUAGAUUGGCCUUUUAAUGGUGUUAUGUAUUUCAUUUUGAUACACCCACAUAACACAGAAAAAGAUAUAAGAGAGAAAACUUGUUCCAGACCAGAUCUUGAAGCUUUCAGAAAGCCAAUCUGUGAAUUAAAUAAACGUAGUUUCGGUUACGUUGAAUUUGUGCGCAUACGGGAUAUAUCUGAUUUUUUACGAAAGGAUACUUUAACAUUUCGAAUCGAAGUUCGAGCAUACGAUAAAUUUAAGUUACCAUUAGUAUAAGAUCAUUUAUUAUACUCAUUAGAAACUUUAUCAAACUUUGUGAAUAAUUAUAAAGUGCAGAUCUUUUAUAUAUUAUUAAACUGUUAAGAUAUUUUUUAUUAAUUUUAUAUAAAAAUAAAACCCAAAAGAAUCCGUCCAAUGUUUGUACAAGAUUGUUGAAUUAACAACAUAUAUUAUGCUACCUGGAUAUUUCACAUACAGGAAAUAUUAAAUAAUUUGUCUUCUACCGACCCACUUCCAUAAAAAAGAAUAUUUUCUAAGUACUCGAAUCUUGUAUAAUCGGUCGUAACGGAAAGAUUAUCUUCAAGAAUAAUGGACGUAAAUUUUAUACGUUAUUUAUUUAUAUUUAAUUCUUGCUUUAUGACCAUUCUUGGAUUUAUUGUUAUUUAUGCUGAACCUUACUUACCUGUUUUAAUUACACGUACAUUUCACUAUGGUAAACAUGCAAUUAAAAUUCAUCAACCAAUAGUUGCAAAAACCGAAGUACCAAAAA